rnacentral:rRNA from 1 species
GAGGACGACGCUGGCGGCGUGGAUUAGGCAUGCAAGUCGAACGGUAUCAUCCUUCGGGGGUGAGAGAGUGGCGAACUGGUGAGUAACACGUAGGUUAUCUACCCUCAAGACGGGGACAACCCAGGGAAACUUGGGCUAAUACCGGAUGUGAGCAACUUUUAGUUGUUUGAAAGGUGGCGUAAGCUGUCGCUUGGGGAUGAGCCUGCGUCCUAUUAGUUAGUUGGUGAGGUAACGGCUCACCUAGGCAAUGAUAGGUAGGCGGCCUUAACGGGUGGUCGCCCACACUGGGAUUGAGAUACGGCCCAGACUCCUACGGGAGGCAGCAGUCGAGAAUAGUCUACAAUGGUCGGAAGACUGAUAGUGCGACGCCGCGUGAACGAUGAAUCCCUUCGGGGUGUAAAGUUCUUUUAUAUGUGAGCAGUGCUUCUUAUAUUAACAGUAUGGGGAGAGAGAUAUUAGCAUAUGAAUAAGCAACGGCUAACUCCGUG